rnacentral:rRNA from 1 species
UACGUAGGGUGCAAGCGUUAAUCGGAAUAUCUGGCGUAAGCGUGCGCAGGCGGUGAUGUAAGACAGGUGUGAAAUCCCCGGGCUUAACCUGGGAACUGCAUUUGUGACUGCAUCGCUGGAGUGCGGCAGAGGGGGAUGGAAUUCCGCGUGUAGCAGUGAAAUGCGUAGAUAUGCGGAGGAACACCGAUGGCGAAGGCAAUCCCCUGGGCCUGCACUGACGCUCAUGCACGAAAGC